rnacentral:lncRNA from 1 species
AUUUGAACACAAAGUGUGCUUUAUUUAUCUCCUCGCUUUUGUCGCUUUGUUUCCUCUUCUUCCCAUGAGAGAGAGAGAGUUGUAGAUGGAGAAACUGCAACUCCACCAAAUAUACUACUACUACUACUAUAUAUCUAGAGAGAGAGAGGAAGUCUUGAACAAGUAGUUUGUGUAGGGAGGUUUUUGUUUGGUUUGCGAGUAGAAUUGGUUGGGAGAUUUGAAUGAUUUUAGGUUGGGAAUUUGGGUUUUAUAAUGAUGAAGAGCAGAAGAGAAGAAAAGAGAUGGGUCCAGAAAAGGAGACGGAUUGCGUGUGAGUCGGANAAGUCUUGAACAAGUAGUUUGUGUAGGGAGGAUUUUGUUUUGGUUUGCGAGUAGAAUUGGUUGGGAGAUUUGAAUGAUUUUAGGUUGGGAAUUUGGUUAGGAUAAUGAUGAAGAGAAGAGAGCAGAAGAGAAGAAAAGAGAUAGGUCCAGAAAAGGAGACGGAUUGCGUGUGAGUCGGAUAUUUUGAGUUUUGUUGAAAAUAGCGCGCGUGAUGGAGGUUUAUUCUUGCAAUCUUGCAUAAAUUGCAAGAAACUAGAUAUUUUCCAACUAUAUACCCAAACUACAAAUUUUCUGUCUAUAAUAAUUCUACUUUAUGGUAACUGCAUAAUUUGGUGCAAACGGUAUGACCAUGUAACUUUUCUGCUUUUGUAUGGUGUGCAACUUUUUGU